rnacentral:rRNA from 1 species
UAGGGAAUCUUCCACAAUGGACGCAAGUCUGAUGGAGCAACGCCGCGUGAGUGAAGAAGGUCUUCGGAUCGUAAAGCUCUGUUGUUGGUGAAGAAGGAUAGAGGCAGUAACUGGUCUUUAUUUGACGGUAAUCAACCAGAAAGUCACGGGCUAACUACGUGCCAGCAGCCGCGGUAAUACGUAGGUGGCAAGCGUUGUCCGGAUUUAUUGGGCGUAAAGCGAGCGCAGGCGGAAUGAUAAGUCUGAUGUGAAAGCCCACGGCUCAACCGUGGAACUGCAUCGGAAACUGUCAUUCUUGAGUGCAGAAGAGGAGAGUGGAACUCCAUGUGUAGCGGUGGAAUGCGUAGAUAUAUGGAAGAACACCAGUGGCGAAGGCGGCUCUCUGGUCUGCAACUGACGCUGAGGCUCGAAAGCAUGGGUAGCGAACAGGAUUAGAUACCCU